rnacentral:rRNA from 1 species
GAUGAACGCGGCGGCGUGCCUAACACAUGCAAGUCGAGCGAGGGUUUGCUCAGUAUUGAGUAUUCUAAAACUAGAAUGUUCAAUUCUGAGCAAAACCAAGCGGCGGACGGGUGAGUAACGCGUGGGUAACCUGCCCUAUACACAUGGAUAACAUACUGAAAAGUUUACUAAUACAUGAUAAUAUAUAUUUGUGGCAUCGCAGAUAUAUCAAAGUGUUAGCGGUAUAGGAUGGACCCGCGUCUGAUUAGCUAGUUGGUGAGAUGACUGCCCACCAAGGCGACGAUCAGUAGCCGACCUGAGAGGGUGAUCGGCCACAUUGGAACUGAGACACGGUCCAAACUCCUACGGGAGGCAGCAGUGGGGAACAUUGCACAAUGGGCGAAAGCCUGAUGCAGCAACGCCGCGUGAACGAUGAAGGUCUUCGGGAUCGUAAAAGUUUCUGUGCAGGGGAAAG